GGGAUCCUGCGGCCUCCUCUAGGUCUGGACGCAGGGAGGGGUGAGACUGUUCUGGCCAAAGAGACUGGAGAUCCAGUAUCAGCAAGCUACUUUCUUGGUAAACCUCCAUUUCCCAAUGCUCAUCUUUGUCCUCUACCCCCACCCAUCCCAAGGCAAAUGAUGAAAACAUCUAUUGGAUCCAGCCUUUGCUAUCUUCUCCAUGCUGCUCAUAGUGGGUCUAAAAAUGUUCCAUUCUCGGUAAUGUUUGGUAGGUCUCAAACAUCCUCACGAAAUGUUCCCCAAAUGUUCUGCCCCAGCUAAGCAACUAAUAACAAUGGGAAGAUGCAGAAAAAAAAAUGCAUGGAGCAUAAUGUUAGUUUUGGGACUGGUCAGUGGCAAUGUUUUAGAGAUGCCAUGAAGAAUUCCUGGUAAUAAUGCUUUUUCCUACAGCAUUUAGCACUGAAUACUAUGAGAUUACGGCUAAAAGAUGGUCAAGACUGCCUCAGCCAUUAGGAUCAGAAUUCUAAGUUCCAAAGAAGAGCAAACUCAAGAGGAUUUCCUCAGGCCUCUGCCUAUAGAUGCUGCUGGAGGAGAACAGGUGCUAUACUCAAAACAUUCUCAUUUUAUUUAUAUUCUCCCUGAACUAGUACUGAACUCCAUAACCCCAGACUCAAAUAACAGAAAUAAAAGCCAUCUCAUU
rnacentral:antisense_RNA from 1 species